AUUGAACGCUGGCGGCAGGCCUAACACAUGCAAGUCGAGCGGAUGAGGAAAGCUUGCUUUUCGAUUCAGCGGCGGACGGGUGAGUAAUGCCUAGGAAUCUGCCUGUUAGUGGGGGAUAACUCGGGGAAACUCGGGCUAAUACCGCAUACGUCCUACGGGAGAAAGUGGGGGAUCUUCGGACCUCACGCUAACAGAUGAGCCUAGGUCGGAUUAGCUAGUAGGUGGGGUAAUGGCUCACCUAGGCGACGAUCCGUAACUGGUCUGAGAGGCUGAUCAGUCACACUGGAACUGAGACACGGUCCAGACUCCUACGGGAGGCAGCAGUGGGGAAUAUUGGACAAUGGGCGAAAGCCUGAUCCAGCCAUGCCGCGUGUGUGAAGAAGGUCUUCGGAUUGUAAAGCACUUUAAGUUGGGAGGAAGGGUAUUCACCUAAUACGUGGGUACUUUGACGUUACCAACAGAAUAAGCACCGGCUAACUCUGUGCCAGCAGCCGCCGUAAGAC
rnacentral:rRNA from 1 species